UACGGAGGGGGCAAGCGUUGUUCGGAAUUACUGGGCGUAAAGGGCGCGCAGGCGGCUGCUCAAGUCAGGCGUGAAAGGCCUGGGCUCAACCCGGGAAUUGCGCUUGAGACUGGGCUGGCUUGAGUGCGGGAGAGGAGACUGGAAUUCCUGGUGUAGCGGUGGAAUGCGCAGAUAUCAGGAGGAACACCGAUGGCGAAGGCAGGUCUCUGGGCCAUUACUGACACAGAGAAGCGAAAGCAUGGGGAGCGAACAGG
rnacentral:rRNA from 1 species